rnacentral:ribozyme from 1 species
CCAAGAUUGGUGCCACUUUUGCUACUUAUCCCCUUAUCGUCGUUAAGAGUCGUCUCCAAGCAUCUGGAAAAUCCAGUGGCAAGAGCGUUAGCACUGGUUCUAUC